rnacentral:rRNA from 1 species
UACAGAGGGUGCAAGCGUUAAUCGGAGUUACUGGGCGUAAAGGGCGCGUAGGUGGUUAUGUAAGUGAGAUGUGAAAUCCCUGGGCUUAACCUAGGAACUGCAUCUUAUACUGCAUAACUGGAGUACUGUAGAGGGUAGUGGAAUUUCCGGUGUAGCGGUGAAAUGCGUAGAGAUCGGAAGGAACACCAGUGGCGAAGGGCGGCU